GACGAACGCUGGCGGCGUGCUUAACACAUGCAAGUCGAACGAAGUGGCGAACGGGUGAGUAAUACGUGAGUAACCUGCCCUCCUUUUUGGGAUAAGCCUGGGAAACGGGGUCUAAUACCGAAUAAAGGGGGAUGGGCUCGCGGCCUAUCAGCUUGUUGGGGGGGUGAUGGCCUACCAAGGCGGUGACGGGUAGGCGGCCUGAGAGGGUGACCGGCCAAAUGGGAACUGGGCUACGGCCCAGAGGCAUACGGGAGGAGGCAGUGGUGGAGAUUGGACGAUGGGCGAAAGCCGGAUGCAGCGACGCGGGGUGGGGGAUGAAGGCUUUCGGGUUGUAAACCGCUUUCGCUAUCGAAGGGGUAGGUGGAGAAGAAGCGCCGGCUAACUACGUGCCAGCAGCCGCGGUAAUAC
rnacentral:rRNA from 1 species